rnacentral:rRNA from 1 species
CCUACGGGUGGCAGCAGUGGGGAAUAUUGGGCAAUGGGCGCAAGCCUGACCCAGCAACGCCGCGUGAAGGAAGAAGGCUUUCGGGUUGUAAACUUCUUUUGUCAGGGAAGAGUAGAAGACGGUAACUGACGAAUAAGCCCCGGCUAACUACGUGCCAGCAGCCGCGGUAAUACGUAGGUGGCAAGCGUUGUCCGGAUUUACUGGGUGUAAAGGGCGUGUAGCCGGGUUGACAAGUCAGAUGUGAAAUCCUGCGGCUUAACCGCAGAACUGCAUUUGAAACUGUUGAUCUUGAGUACUGGAGAGGCAGAUGGAAUUCCUAGUGUAGCGGUGAAAUGCGUAGAUAUUAGGAGGAACACCAGUGGCGAAGGCAGCUUACCAAACUACUACUGACGUUGAGGCACGAAAGCGUGGGGAGCAAACAGGAUUAGAUACCCUAGUAGUC